UAGGGAAUCUUCGGCAAUGGACGAAAGUCUGACCGAGCAACGCCGCGUGAGUGAAGAAGGUUUUCGGAUCGUAAAACUCUGUUGUUAGAGAAGAACGUUGCAUAGAGUGGAAAAUUAUGCAAGUGACGGUAUCUAACCAGAAAGGGACGGCUAACUACGUGCCAGCAGCCGCGGUAAUACGUAGGUCCCGAGCGUUGUCCGGAUUUAUUGGGCGUAAAGCGAGCGCAGGUGGUUUAAUAAGUCUGAUGUAAAAAGGCAGUGGCUCAACCAUUGUGUGCAUUGGAAACUGUUAGACUUGAGUGCAGUAGAGGAGAGUGGAAUUCCAUGUGUAGCGGUGAAAUGCGUAGAUAUAUGGAGGAACACCGGUGGCGAAAGCGGCUCUCUGGACUGUCACUGACACUGAGGCUCGAAAGCGUGGGUAGCAAACAGGAUUAGAUACCCUGGUAGUCCACGCCGUAAACGAUGAGUGCUAGUUGUU
rnacentral:rRNA from 1 species